rnacentral:rRNA from 1 species
AACGAACGCUGGCGGCGCGCCUAAUACAUGCAAGUCGAGCGAGAAGACGUAGCAAUACGUUUGUAAAGCGGCGAACGGGUGAGGAAUACAUGGGUAACCUACCCUCGAGUGGGGAAUAACUAGCCGAAAGGUUAGCUAAUACCGCGUACGCUCCUUGGACUUCGGUUCAGGGAGGAAAGCGAUACCGUGGGUAUCGCGCUCUUGGAUGGGCUCAUGUCCUAUCAGCUUGUUGGGAGGUAACGGCUCACCAAGGCUUCGACGGGUAGCUGGUCUGAGAGGACGAUCAGCCACACUGGCACUGCGACACGGGCCAGACUCCUACGGGAGGCAGCAGUAAGGAAUAUUGCGCAAUGGGCGAAAGCCUGACGCAGCGACGCCGCGUGGGGGAUGAAGGUCUUCGGAUUGUAAACCCCUUUCGGGAGGGAAGAUGGAACGAGCAAUCGUUCGGACGGUACCUCCAGAAGCAGCCACGGCUAACUUCGUGCCAGCA